rnacentral:rRNA from 1 species
UACGGGGGGAGCAAGCGUUGUUCGGAUUUACUGGGCGUAAAGGGCGCGUAGGCGGCCACCGCAAGUCGACUGUGAAAUCUCCGGGCUUAACCCGGAAAGGUCAGCCGAUACUGCGGGCUAGAGUGCAGAAGGGCACUGGAAUUCUCGGUGUAGCGGUGAAAUGCGUAGAUAUCGAGAGGAACACCUGCGGCGAAGGCGGGUUGCUGGGCUGACACUGACGCUGAGGCGCGAAAGCUAGGGGAGCGAACGGG